AAAAUACGCCUCGGUGGGUGAAGCUGCAAAAGAAAAAAAAAAGAAAACUACGCGUAUAGAGGAAGAGACAGAGGGAGAGAAUCAGAGAGAGUGAGAGAGACAUAGGAAGAUAUACCGGAGACACCGAGCGUCCGUAUGCACCGUCGGUAACACAGACGCGAAGAGGACUCACGUGCGGAACACGGACGACAGACACGCAGAGAAAAGCUCACCGAAAACGACCGAAAAUGAAGGGUCCGAAGAUCCUGAGGAGCACGAGUAGCAGCAUCACGUACGGUGUUUGGAUUUGGUGUGUGUAAAAAUAAAGGAUCAUAUCCCAGGAUUUCGAUGUGAUAUUUUACUAUUUCAAACAUGUGUUUGAUUUUAUAUUAAACUAUGUAUUUUCCGCUGCGAACUCUUUAAAAGUGUGAUAUAAGAUAUUCCCGUGUUUUGGUUUUA